GGAUCAUUACAAGAAGCCGAAAGGCUACUUCAAACCAUCGCGAACUCGUCCAAGUUGCUUCGGCGGCGCGGCACCCCUUAACGGGGGCGCCGCAGCCCUGCCUCUCCGGAGGUUYGGGGCGCCCGCCGGAGGUACGAAACUCUGUAUUAUAGUGGCAUCUCUGAGUAUAAAACAAAUAAGUUAAAACUUUCAACAACGGAUCUCUUGGUUCUGGCAUCGAUGAAGAACGCAGCGAAAUGCGAUAAGUAAUGUGAAUUGCAGAAUUCAGUGAAUCAUCGAAUCUUUGAACGCACAUUGCGCCCGGUAGUACUCUACCGGGCAUGCCUGUUCGAGCGUCAUUUCAACCCUCAAGCCCUGCUUGGUGUUGGGGCCCUACGGCUGCCGUAGGCCCUGAAAGGAAGUGGCGGGCUCGCUACAACUCCGAGCGUAGUAAUUCAUUAUCUCGCUAGGGAGGUUGCGGCGUGCUCCUGCCGUUAAAGACCCAUCUUUAACCAAGGUUGACCUCGGAUCAGGUAGGAAUACCCGCUGAACUUAAGCAUAUCAAUAAGCGGAGGAAAAGAAACCAACAGGGAUUGCCCUAGUAACGGCGAGUGAAGCGGCAACAGCUCAAAUUUGAAAUCUGGCUUCGGCCCGAGUUGUAAUUUGUAGAGGAUGCUUUUGGUGAGGUGCCUUCUGAGUUCCCUGGAACGGGACGCCAGAGAGGGUGAGAGCCCCGUAUAGUCGGCCACCGAUCCUUUGUAAAGCUCCUUCGACGAGUCGAGUAGUUUGGGAAUGCUGCUCAAAAUGGGAGGUAUAUCUCUUCUAAAGCUAAAUAUAGGCCAGAGACCGAUAGCGCACAAGUAGAGUGAUCGAAAGAUGAAAAGCACUUUGAAAAGAGGGUUAAAUAGCACGUGAAAUUGUUGAAAGGGAAGCGCUUGUGACCAGACUUGUGCCGGGCUGAUCAUCCAGUGUUCUCACUGGUGCACUCGACCCGGCUCAGGCCAGCGUCGGUUUUCGUGGGGGGAUAAAAGCUUCGGGAACGUGGCACCUUCGGGUGUGUUAUAGCCCGUUGCUUAAUACCUCCGUGGAGACCGAGGU
rnacentral:rRNA from 1 species